rnacentral:lncRNA from 10 species
AUAGAAUGUUUACAUAUAUCUAAAUGUCCAUAUAGAUACACAUGUACUAUAUAUGAUAGAUAGAUAGAUAUGAUAGAGUAGAUAGAUGAUAGACAGACAGAUAGAUAGAUACAGUAGAUAGAUGAUAGAUAGAUAGAUAUAGAUAGAUGAUAGGUAGAUAGAAAUGACAGAUACAGAUGACAGAGAUAGAUGAUGAUAGAUAAAUAUAGAUGAUUGAUAGAUAGUAGAUAGAUGAUAGAUAGAUAGAUAGACAGAGUAGAUAGAUGAUAGGUACAUAGAUAGAUACAGUAGAUAGAUGAUAGAGAUGAUAGAUAUAGAUGAUAGACAGAUAUAGAUAGGUGAUGAUAGAUAGAUAGAUACAUAGAUAGAUAGAGAUGAUAGAUAGAUAGAUAGUAGAUAGAGAUAGAUGAUAGAUAUAGAGAUGAUAGAUAUAUAGAUACAGUAGAUAGAUGAUAGAUAGAGAUGAUAGAUAUAGAUAGGUGAUGAUAGAUAGAUAUGAUAGAUAGAGUAGAUAGAUGAUAGACAGAUAGAUAGAUACAGUAGAUAGAUGAUAGAUGAGAUGAUGAUAGAUAUAGAUGAUUGAUAGAUAGUAGAUAGAUGAUAGAGUAGAUAGAUGAUAGAUACAUAGAUAGAUACAGUAGAUAGAUGAUAGAGAUGAUAGAUAGAUAUAGAUAGGUGAUGAUAGAUAGAGAUGAUAGAUAUAGAUGAUAGAUAGGUACAGUAGAUAGAUGAUAGAUAGAUAGAUAUGAUAGGUAGAGAUGAUAGAGAUGAUAGAUAGAUACAGAUAGAUAAUGAUAGAUAGAUAAAUAUAGAUGAUAGAUAGUAGAUAGAUGAUAGAUAGAUAGAGUAGAUAGAUGAU